AUGGCCUCCGAGGCGGCGAAGGUGCCGGUGCCGGAGUCGGUGAACUUCAAGAGGAAGAGGGGAGAGGUCUGGGCCGCCGCGAAGAAGCAGAAGGUCGCCGACGAGAAGAAGAAGGACGCGGAGAACACCAAGGUCAUCUACGCCCGCGCCAAGGAGUACGCCGGGGAGUAUGAGGCUCAGGACAAGGAGCUGGUGCAACUUAAGCGUGAGGCCCGGAUGAAGGGUGGGUUCUAUGUCAGUCCUGAGGCAAAGCUGCUGUUUGUCGUCCGUAUCCGUGGUAUCAAUGCUAUGCACCCAAAGACCAAGAAGAUCUUGCAGCUUUUGCGUUUGAGGCAGAUUUUUAAUGGUGUGUUCCUUAAGGUCAACAAGGCCACCAUUAACAUGCUGCGUCGGGUUGAGCCAUAUGUUGCUUACGGGUACCCUAACCUCAAGAGUGUCAGGGAGCUGAUCUACAAGAGAGGUUACGGAAAGCUCAACAAGCAAAGGAUCCCUCUGACCAACAACAAAGUCAUCGAGGAGGGUUUGGGGAAGCACAACAUCAUCUGCAUUGAGGACCUUGUGCAUGAGAUCUUGACCGUCGGCCCACACUUCAAGGAGGCUAACAACUUCCUGUGGCCAUUCAAGCUCAAGGCUCCGCUCGGUGGCCUGAAGAAGAAGAGGAACCACUACGUCGAGGGUGGUGAUGCUGGCAACCGCGAGAACUACAUCAACCAGCUCGUUAGAAGGAUGAACUAG
rnacentral:rRNA from 1 species